rnacentral:rRNA from 1 species
AUGCAGGAUAGAGAUCGAUCAGGCGCAGUUAAUGACGCUGCUCCUCCUUCACCGAUCGAUGCUCCAAAGGGCUAUGACCGCGUAGCGCGUACCAGCUUCAAAUUAAAGCACCCACUCCUCCUCGGCGGGAGUCCAUGUGCACGUCGCUGCAGCGUCCCCUCUCCUGCAAAUAUCCGUGUAGUGCUGGACAUCCAGAGACAGAGACAGACACACAAUGGCCGUAGCAAUGCCAGCUGCGUGCUCGCUUCUCCUGCUUCUCCUGCUGGUUGCGCCGCCGGCGCCGGGCUCGUCGGAGGCGGCAGUCCAGCCGAACCCCAAGAUCGUCAACUGGGUCACAGACAAUGCCCGCGCCUCCACGCCCGACAGCUUCGGCGCCCUCAUCUUCGACCUCUCCGUCGGGACGCCGCGGCAGACCCUCUCCUUCGUCAUGGACAUCACCGCGGCGACCACUGCAAGUACGCAUGGGACUUCCAGCGCCGCGGCAGCGGCGCCAUGUCGGGCUACCUCGCCACCGAGACGUUCAGCUUCGGGACCAAGUCCGUCCCCGGCAUGGUGUUCGGCUGCAGCGACAACGUCACGGUGCGGGCCCUCGGCGGCGUCUCUGGCUUCGCCGGAUUCAGCAGGGGGCCCCUCUCCCUCGUCUCGCAGCUCCACGUCUCCAGGUUCUCCUAUUUCAUCGACGACAACAGCUUCCUCAGCUUGGGCGACGCGGACGCCGCGCCGGCUAUGGGCAACAACAGCACGCCGCUGCUGCCGGCCACGACCAAACAGGAUAGUUACCUCUACUACGUCAAUCUCACCGGCAUUCAGGUCGACGGGGAGCUCCUCGCCGACAUCCAGGCGGGGGCCUUCGCCGUCAAGGAAGACGGCUCCGGCGGGGUGUUCCUCAGCACAACGAUUCCCUACACCUUCCUCCAAGAGGCCGCGUACAAGGUUCUGAAGCAGGAGCUCGUGAGCAGGAUUCGGUCACAGGGCGUAGCUCCGAUGAACGCCACGGCCGACGACCUGUGCUUCCUCAAGGAGAACUUCAGCAGCGUUAAGGUUCCAAGGCUAGCGCUGGUGUUCGACGGCGCCGACGCGGCGAUGGAGCUCAAUGUGAAGAACUACUUCUCCAUCUACGACGAAUGGCGCACGUGCCUCACCAUACUGCCGUCGCCGAACGGCGCGGCGGCCGUCCUGGGCAGCCUGCUGCAGACGGGCAGGACCAUGACCUACGACAUUCAUGGCGACGGCGGCCAGCUGACAUUCGAGCCGGUGGCAGCGGGUGGCCCGGACCCGGCGCCGGCCCAUGCGCAUGCGGGUGCCCCUGCGCCGGCGCAUGCGUCGCUCGUCAUAACAGCCACUCUUCUGGCCUGGGUGCUCCUCUUCCAGCAGUUCUAG